rnacentral:tRNA from 1 species
GCCCAGCUAGCUCAGUCGGUAGAGCACACCCUUGGUAAGGGUGAGGUCACAGGUUCGAAUCCUGUGCUGGGCACCA